CCUCUAAGAAGAGAAGGACUCAAAUCAUUCACCUUGCAACAGACCACCGAGAGUCUCACCACCAUCCCGGGGACGUGGCCGCUGGCUGUGCUGGUUCUCCAGUGGAAAUUAAAAAUACUUUCUGCCACAGGACACUCUGCCUUUUUACUUCAUCCAGGAGCAUUUCUACAUUCUGCUGAAAUAACAGGAAGGCGUGGCAAUUUUUAAGCUCUAGACAAUCUUAUUUAGAAGUGAACUUCAAAUAUUUAACCACUUCAUAGUUUCUUGUUAAGUAGAGGUCUCAUAUUUGCAAGAAUUAGGGUAACAGUCUUGCUCUGAAGCUGCUUAAAUUAAUGCCAACCCCCUGACUCUGAAGAUGAAAGCCUCAAUGAAUCUGUAGGAGCAAUUUAUCAUCAUAGGAGUGAAGUAUCAUCUUACUUCUUAUGUAUCAAAGUCUAGGACAGAAUCUCAUUGACCUUCUCCAGGAGGAGAACUGGGGCACAUCAAGAUUCUGAUCACUAUCAUGUUGGUGGAAGCGGAGAGAAAAUCCCCUGAAAUGACAUCGGAACAGUAAGCAACCUGAGAAUGAAGCCCAUAAUCUCUUUGUCCCUGUGCUGUACAUGUUUUCUCUGGAGCCUAAUUUGAGAACAAAAUCUUAAUUUGUUUGAGAAAACCAAAAGCAGCUGCUGUAGUUAAUUUACUUUGGGGACACACGUGCUGAUGAGCCGGAGGAGGAUGUUAUCUCUGUCCUUUCACAAGGAGACAGAUAACGCUGUGAUGCGCGCAGGAGCUGAACUGUGUCACGUAGGUUAGGGACGGGAUGGCUCUCUUGAUUCCUGCAAAGCACAGCGGAGGGCAGCUCUCUGAGGAUGACUGAGAUGUAGGGAGCAACGGGGUCUGAAGG
rnacentral:lncRNA from 1 species